rnacentral:lncRNA from 1 species
AGGAAACUCAUUUCAGACUUCUGACCUCCAGAACCUGAUGUCCAAAGAGAAGGGAGGAGGAAGGAUGAAAGGAAAGACAGAGGAGGAAGGAAGAGAAGAAAGAAGAGUGGCCGGCACAAGGGCUUGGAGAUCCCUGAAGCUGUUUUCCUUUCUCCUCACCCCCACAGGGAGGGAUCCACAUCGUUGUGGGGUUUUUGUUGUUGUUGUUUUUGUUUUUGUUUUUUUGCCUCCCUUCAUCAAAGCAUUCAUUGUAGUGUAUGGUAAUUGUCUCUGAAUGUAACAGCCUCUCUUCCCUGAGGCCUGGGUCUGCUUGUUUCAUACCAUCUUCUCCUUAACACACAGUGCUUGGUAAACAAUACCUAUUAAUAAACAUUUGUUGAAUGAAUGAAUGAGUGAAUGAACGAAUACUGCACUCUUUCG